GACGAACGCUGGCGGCGUGCUUAACACAUGCAAGUCGAACGAAGAGCGAUGGAAGCUUGCUUCUUUCAAUCUUAGUGGGCGAACGGGUGAGUAACGCGUAAUCAACCUGCCCUUCAGAGGGGGACAACAGUUGGAAACGACUGCUAAUACCCGCAUACGAUCCACUCUCGGCAUCGAGAGUGGAUGAAAGGUGGCCUCUAUUAAUAAGCUAUCACUGAAGGAGGGGAUUGCGUCUGAUUAGCUAGUUGGAGGGGUAACGGCCCACCAAGGCGAUGAUCAGUAGCCGGUCUGAGAGGAUGAACGGCCACAUUGGGACUGAGACACGGCCCAGACUCCACGGGAGGCAGCAGUGGGGGAAUCUUUCCCGCAAUGGGACGAAAAGUCUGAACGG
rnacentral:rRNA from 1 species